GGAACAUCAGUUUACUCAGCCGAAAGUGCACUGAAAAUCCACACGAUACUGAACAACCCUUAGCUGCUCCAACCCACUGGGAAAACUGCUCACCACUCACUUCUUCACAUCCUUAUCGGCCUUUAAAAUAGUUAUCCCUUCUCACAGAGGAGGCACCCUUCAUGCACACACAUUACUUAGGCUUUCGGACACAGACCCUUCCAGUAAUUUCCUAAAUCCCUGUUGUUUGAAAGUCAACAUGUAAAAUCUCCCACAUGAAAGAAUUUUAUUCUAAGUUAGGGAAAGUAAAAGUGGUUAUAUCCCCAAGUUCUUAUCCAACCCAGUAUUUCUCUUUAAGUUUAACAGGAAAUAUCAGCUACUGAUAUGAAAAAUGUAUUUUAGAAUAGUAAAGAAGGACUGGAGAGACUGCUCAGCUGUAGCUCUUCCAGAGGACCUGGAUUUAAGUCCCAGAACUAGAGGAUCUGAUACUAUCUACAUGUUCUAGGUACACACAUGUCACACUGACAUACAUGAAGGCAAAACACUAUACACAUUAAAUUAAAAAAGCAACACAACAACAUAGUGAGCACAGUAUUCCAUUUGGUGGAAUGUGAUAGAAUUUUGUUUCUGUAUUAAAAUUUACUUAUCUCUUUUUUUUUGUUUUUUGUUUUUUUUUCUUUUCUUUUUUUCGGAGCUGGGGAUCGAACCCAGGGCCUUGCGCUUGCUAGGCAAGCACUCUACCGCUGAGCUAAAUCCCCAACCCCUACUUAUCUCUUUAUUAACUUAUAAUUAAGCACUAAGGGCUGGAGCUAUGGCUCAGUAGUUAAGAGUUCUUGCUGCUCUUCCAGAUGACCGGAAUUGGGUUGCCAGAAUUGACAUCUUGCUCCAACAAUGCUAAAGCCAGAGGAUCUGAUGAUUUCUUCUGACCUCCAUAGGCACCUGCACAUAUCCACUUUGUUGAAGUUGUUUGUCAGCUUUAGGAAUUCUCUGGUGGAAUUUUUGGAGUUAGGGAAGCAAGAAGUUCCCAGAACCCAAUGGGGAUGGCAUUAGCUGAAAUGCCCAACAAAGAGGAGAUAGACACCGUAGAGAUCAUAUCUGAUGGAUAGGUAUGAACUCCAGGUGAGGGAUGGGGUCACUCAGCCAUCUCAAAAUUUUAACCCAGAAAUGUUCCUGUCUAUAGGAAAUGCAGGGACAAAGAGUGGAGCAGAGACUGAAGGAAAGGUCAUCCAGAGAUUGCCUCACAUAGGGAUCCAUCCCAUCUGUGGACACCAAAGCCAGAAACUAUUGCUGAUGCCAGGAAGCUUAUGCUGACAGGAGCCUGGUAUAGCUAUCCCCUGAAAGGCUGUCCCAGAGCCUGACCAAUACAGAUGUGGAUGCUUGACUGAGCAUGGGGACCCCAAAGUAAGAGUUCGGGGAAGGGCUGAAGGAGCUAAAGGGGAUUGUAACCCUAUAUGAGGAACAAUAUUAACUAACUGGAUCCCUCAGACCUCUCAGGGACUAAACCAUCAACCAAAGAGUGUACAUGAGGAUCCAUGGCUCCAGCUGCGUAUGUAGAAGAUUGCUUUAUCUGGCAUUAAUCGGAGGGGAGGCCCUUGGUCCUGUGGAGGAUCAAUGCCAGCAUAGGGAGAUGCUAGG
ensembl:lncRNA